UGGGGUGGAGGGUAUGCACGAGGCUUGGUUGGUAGAGAUGAGGGGAGCUAGAGCGCUGACGCUUCUCCACUUGGGUCGGCUUCCCAUGCCCCCGAUUUUUUCCACUACCGUCGAAUGAGGCUCGCCUUUUUCUCUCCAAACCAUCCUCCUCUCUUCUCAGGUAGGCACCAUGCAUUAUAAUGAGGUCGAAUGAGACGCAUUAUUAGGAGGGAUGGCCGGAUGGGCAGAAGACAGAGAUCGAGCACCGCCACCAUGCAUGGCUCCGCUUCCACUGUCGACCCCAUCCCCACCACCACCACAUA
rnacentral:lncRNA from 1 species